UUGAUUACGUCCCUGCCCUUUGUACACACCGCCCGUCGCUGCCCGGGAUGAGCCAUUUCGAGAAAUUUGGGGACCGUUAAUUAAACAUUUAUUUGUUUUUUUGAUGGAAACCAAUUUAAUCGCAGUGGCUUGAACCGGGCAAAAGUCGUAACAAGGUAGCUGUAGGUGAACCUGCUGCUGGAUCAUUA
rnacentral:rRNA from 1 species